rnacentral:rRNA from 1 species
GAGUUUGAUCCUGGCUCAGGAUGAACGCUGGCGGCGUGCCUAACACAUGCAAGUCGCACGGUCCGCAAGGACAGUGGCGCACGGGUGAGGAACACGUAGCUGACCUGCCCCGAAGAGCGGGAUAACGGUUCGAAAGGACUGCUAAUACCGCAUAAGCUCACAUUGACUAAAUAGGUGUGAGAAAAGGCGUAAGCCGUUUCGGGAGGGGGCUGCGACCCAUCAGGUAGUUGGUAAGGUAAAGGCUUACCAAGCCGACGACGGGUAACGGGUCUGAGAGGAUGAUCCGUCACACUGGGACUGAGACACGGCCCAGACUCCUACGGGAGGCAGCAGUGAGGAAUAUUGCACAAUGGGCGCAAGCCUGAUGCAGCGACGCCGCGUGGGUGAUGAAGGCUUUCGGGUCGUAAAACCCUUUUCUGUGUGACGAGUAAGGACGGUAGCACAGGAAUAAGCCUCGGCCAACUACGUGCCAGCAGCCGCGGUAAAACGUAGGAGGCGAGCGUUACCCGGAGUUACUGGGCGUAAAGCGCGUGUAGGUGGUUGGAUACGUCUGCUGUGAAAUGUCCCGGCUUAAACCGGGAGGGUGCGGCAGAUACGGUCUGACCAGAGGGCGACAGAGGAGCGUAGAAUUCCGGGUGUAGUGGUGAAAUGCGUAGAGAUCCGGAGGAAUACCAGUGGCGCAAGCGGCGCUCUGGGUCGCAACUGACACUGAGACGCGAAGGCAUGGGGAGCGAACGGGAUUAGAAACCCCGGUAGUCCAUGCAGUAAACGAUGCAGACUGGGUGUGGGGUACGCAAGUAUUCUGUGCCGAAGCCAACGCGCUAAGUCUGCCGCCUGGGAAGUACGGUCGCACGACUAAAACUCAAAGGAAUUGACGGGGGCCCGCACAAGCAGCGGAGCGUGUGGUUUAAUUCGAGGCUACACGAAGAACCUUACCUAGGGUCGACAUACUGGUGGUAGUGAACCGAAAGGGGAACGACGCUUCGGCGAGCCAGUACAGGUGCUGCAUGGUUGUCGUCAGCUCGUGCCGUGAGGUGUUCGGUUAAGUCCGAAAACGAGCGCAACCCUCGGUGUGCGUUACACGUGUCGCACACGACUGCCCGUGAGAAACGGGAGGAAGGUGAGGAUGACGUCAAAUCAGCAUGGCCUAUAUCUCUAGGGCUACACACACGCUACAAUGGACGGUACAAUGCGUAGCGAAGGCGCGAGCCGGAGCCAAUCGAGAAAGCCGUUCGAAGUUCGGAUUGCAGGCUGCAACCCGCCUGCAUGAAGCUGGAGUUGCUAGUAACCGCGCGUCAGCCAUAGUGCGGUGAAUACGUUCCCGGGCCUUGUACACAUCGCCCGUCACGUCAUGGGAGCUAGUCACGCCUGAAAUCGGGGAGCUAACCGCAAGGAGGCAACCGCUGAAGGCAGGGCUGGUGACUGGGACGAAGUCGUAACAAGGUAGCAGUAGCGGAAGCUGUGG